CAGCUGUUGGUAAAAAGGAGAAAAGACCACAUACCCUGAAAUAAAAUAGAGCAAUCGGUUAUCUUGUGGCCAUCUAGCUAACAGAAAGGAUAUACAGAAUUUGUAGGAAGUAAGGCAGUAACCUUCAUAAGGCUUUUUCCUUCAAAAUCAGAAAAACCCCUUCAACCCCCUUCCAUGGAGCUGAGGAGUAAUUGGGGCGUGACGGAGAGCGAGUUGGCAGAGGCCCUCAAAAGAGUGACGUGGGUUUACAUCAAUUUCCAGGGACUUAGGUCAACCUCUGUGCUUGAGGUCCGCAGCGUGGAUGGCUGAUUUGGCAUUAGCUUGCUACCACUGCCUGCUGAACCAGCGGAGGCUGUGUUAUUGCAUCCAGAUGGGGAUACACCUUGAUCUGGUCAGAAGCUGGAGUUACUGCGUGUGCCUCAAGAAGGAAAGAACACGCUUCCUGUGGUAUUUGAAUCCUUUCCAAACUGGGGCUAUUUUCUAGGCGUGUUGUGACUCUCGGCUCCAAAAACCUGAGGGCUGCGUUGUGCCGUGUUUUAUUUUCCACACAUCAUCCUAUGCUGGAUAGCAAGGAAUUCUGGAGCUGCAGCCACAUCCCAAGAUCUGUAUUUGUCUUGGAGAAACAGGGAUUCCUCCCCCCCUUCCUACGGGCAGCAAAUCAAACCCAGCUGUGCAAUUGUAGCCAGAAUAGGCUUUGGAAGAAGCAUGGUCAGGCAUUCGUUCUGCAUGAUUCAAUAAACCAAACAGACUCGAAUUAAGAAUAUAAUGCACAAGGUUGUAUUUCAGAUGCUUGAUCUCGUUCCCUUUCGUGGUUGAAUCUGGACCUGUUUAGAAGCCACACACACCAGCGUGGCAUAGAAAGGGCAGAUGAGAAAGCACAGAGAAAGACUUCUGGAAUCAGCAGAUAGUGUUCUUUGGCUGCGUCGACGGUUAUGCUUUUUACAGCUACUAUUGAAAAAAAGCAUGAGUGCAGAAAGAUUUUUUUUUUUACUGUUGCAAAUAUAUCCUUAGACACUUGCACUCAUUUGCAAAUGGCAUAAAAACAAAAUAUCACAGCUUUUAUUUCUCUCACAGCUAACAAGUCAAAUCAAUUUUUUAAGCAUGCAGAACCAUGUUACGUAGGAGACGGAUACUAUUUCAGCAUAGAGGCAGUGUCUGGGGAAGUUAAAUUCAGCAGUCAUAUAGAAAAGGGGCUUGCAUUCUGCACACAAGGUCAUAGGUUAUUUAUAUUUAAUAUGUGACAUCUGGCAUUUAAAUAAUUUCCUUGGCUAAUUACCAGUGCCUGGGUGAAAUGUGAAACUUCUGCCAUUGGGGAAUUAAAAGGAAAACAAAAACAAAAGUAGAUUGCAGAGCGCUGGAAAGUUUUGUAGGAAAAUUAGGAGUUGUCCUAAUUCAGGCAUCAGAAUACAUGGUAAGAGAAAAUGGAGUAAAAGGGAGUAAUUUGACUGAACUUCAAUAAAUUUUAAGAUUUCUGGGAAAAUUUGCAGCCAUCCUUUUCAGACUCACCAUGCCACGACUGUUCAGUUGCAACACUCCUAUCUAGAUCUCAUGCUCAGCAUUUGAUCAAUGGGGCAUUUGUAAUAACAAGAUCACGAAGUGAAAAAAAAAAAAAGGUUGCCUACAAGGUGUGUGUUGACAAAAACACACCUACAUAAAAAUUUAAUGAGGUCAUAGAGUCUCAUUUAACCAUUUUACAGGUUUCCCCGGGAAGUUUCACUGCUCCCCUAAACUUCCUGCAGCCUUAUUAGUACAUUUCAGUAGAUUUUUCUUCAAUAUGUAUUUUACAUUAAACAAUCAAUGCUUUGCUUUAUUGUUUGUUUAACACUCUGCCAUGUAAAGCAGACAUUACUUCAUAAAGUUUGUUGCUGCUAUAUAUUUCCAUAGUUUUACACAGCGGGGUGGAAUCCCCCCAUUUGGAAGUUACCAUCACACAUUAAAAAGAGCCGAGGGUCUGGAAACCUGGCACCUAGUUGCAUUGCUCUCUCUGCAGAACUUCUAUUCGUAGCAUUUUGCUCUCAGAUCAUCAAGUG